UGGGGAGCAAACAGGAUUAGAUACCCUGGUAGUCCACGCUGUAAACGAUGUCGACUUGGAGGUUGUGCCCUUGAGGUGUGGCUUCCGGAGCUAACGCGUUAAGUCGACCGCCUGGGGAGUACGACCGCAAGGUUAAAACUCAAAUGAAUUGACGGGGGCCCGCACAAGCGGUGGAGCAUGUGGUUUAAUUCGAUGCAACGCGAAGAACCUUACCUGGUCUUGACAUCCACGGAAGUUUUCAGAGAUGAGAAUGUGCCUUCGGGAACCGUGAGACAGGUGCUGCAUGGCUGUCGUCAGCUCGUGUUGUGAAAUGUUGGGUUAAGUCCCGCAACGAGCGCAACCCUUAUCCUUUGUUGCCAGCGGUCCGGCCGGGAACUCAAAGGAGACUGCCAGUGAUAAACUGGAGGAAGGUGGGGAUGACGUCAAGUCAUCAUGGCCCUUACGACCAGGGCUACACACGUGCUACAAUGGCGCAUACAAAGAGAAGCGACCUCGCGAGAGCAAGCGGACCUCAUAAAGUGCGUCGUAGUCCGGAUUGGAGUCUGCAACUCGACUCCAUGAAGUCGGAAUCGCUAGUAAUCGUGGAUCAGAAUGCCACGGUGAAUACGUUCCCGGGCCUUGUACACACCGCCCGUCACACCAUGGGAGUGGGUUGCAAAAGAAGUAGGUAGCUUAACCUUCGGGAGGGCGCUUACCACUUUGUGAUUCAUGACUGGGGUGAAGUCGUAACAAGGUAACCGUAGGGGAACCUGCGGUUGGAUCACCUCCUUA
rnacentral:rRNA from 1 species